GACGAACGCUGGCGGCGUGCUUAACACAUGCAAGUCGAACGGUGAACCUCUUCGGAGGGGAUCAGUGGCGAACGGGUGAGUAACACGUGGGCAACCUGCCCCCGGCUCUGGGAUAACUCCAAGAAGUUGGGGCUAAUACCGGAUGUUCACCGCUUCCCGCAUGGGUGGUGGUGGAAAGGGUUUCCGGCUGGGGAUGGGCCCGCGGCCGAUCAGCUUGUUGGUGGGGUAGUGGCCUACCAAGGCGACGACGGGUAGCCGGCCUGAGAGGGUGACCGGCCACACUGGGACUGCGACACGGCCCAGACUCCUACGGGAGGCAGCAGUGGGGAAUAUUGCGCAAUGGGCGGAAGCCUGACGAAGCGACGCCGCGUGGGGGAUGACGGCCUUCGCGUUGUAAACCUCUUUCCGCAGGGACGAAGCGCAAGUGACGGUACCUGAAGAAGAAGCACCGGCCAACUACGUG
rnacentral:rRNA from 1 species